CCUACGGGAGGCAGCAGUGGGGAAUAUUGCACAAUGGGCGAAACCCUGAUGCAGCGACGCCGCGUGAGUGUAGAAGUAAUUCGUUAUGUAAAGCUCUAUCAGCAGGGAAGAAAAUGACUGUACCUGAGUAAGAAGCCCCGGCUAACUACGUACCAGCAGCCGCGGUACUACGUAGGGGGCAAGCGUUAUCCGGAUUUGCUGGGUGUAACGGGAGCGUAGACGGCAGUGCAAGUCUGGAGUGAAAGGCGGGGGCUCAACCCCCGGAGUGCUCUGGAGACUGUACGGCUGGAGUGCAGGAGAGGUAAGUGGAAUUCCUAGUGUAGCGGUGAAAUGCGUAGAUAUUAGGCGGAACACCAGUGGCGAAGGCGGCUUACUGGACUGUAACUGACGUUGAGGCUCGAAAGCGUGGGGAACAAACAGGAUUAGAUACCCGGGUAGUC
rnacentral:rRNA from 1 species